AGUGAACGCUGGCGGCAGGCCUAACACAUGCAAGUCGAACGGCAGCACAGAGGAGCUUGCUCCUUGGGUGGCGAGUGGCGGACGGGUGAGGAAUGCAUCGGAAUCUGCCUAUUUGUGGGGGAUAACGUAGGGAAACUUACGCUAAUACCGCAUACGUCCUACGGGAGAAAGUGGGGGACCGCAAGGCCUCACGCAGAUAGAUGAGCCGAUGCCGGAUUAGCUAGUUGGCGGGGUAAAGGCCCACCAAGGCGACGAUCCGUAGCUGGUCUGAGAGGAUGAUCAGCCACACUGGAACUGAGACACGGUCCAGACUCCUACGGGAGGCAGCAGUGGGGAAUAUUGGACAAUGGGCGCAAGCCUGAUCCAGCCAUGCCGCGUGUGUGAAGAAGGCCUUCGGGUUGUAAAGCACUUUUGUCCGGAAAGAAAAGCAUUCGAUUAAUACUCGGGUGUUAUGACGGUACCGGAAGAAUAAGCACCGGCUAACUUCGUGCCAGCAGCCGCCGUAAUAC
rnacentral:rRNA from 1 species